rnacentral:rRNA from 1 species
GACGAACGCUGGCGGCGUGCUUAACACAUGCAAGUCGAACGGAAAGGCCCUGCUUUUGUGGGGUGCUCGAGUGGCGAACGGGUGAGUAACACGUGAGUAACCUGCCCUUGACUUUGGGAUAACUUCAGGAAACUGGGGCUAAUACCGGAUAGGAGCUCCUGCUGCAUGGUGGGGGUUGGAAAGUUUCGGCGGUUGGGGAUGGACUCGCGGCUUAUCAGCUUGUUGGUGGGGUAGUGGCUUACCAAGGCUUUGACGGGUAGCCGGCCUGAGAGGGUGACCGGGAACGAGGGAAGUAUGAAGAGGGCCGGGGGGCAGUGGGAGGCAGCAGGGCGGAAUGGUGCACGAUGGGCGGAAGCAUGAUACAGCAACGCCGCGGGCGGGAGGAGGGCAUGCGGGUGGGAAACCGAGUUCGCCCGGGACGAAGCGUGAGAGACGGUAAUGGGAAAGGAAGCAACGGCUAACUACGUG